rnacentral:misc_RNA from 1 species
UAAUAAGUGUUUUAUGGCACUUUUUAAAUCCAUAUCCACCUUGUGCGCAAUGUUCAGUCGAUCUUCUUCAUGGAGAUCGACCAAACAUCAACCUUUAUUUUUUAACUCUUUGUCUGAAAAAUAUUAUGAAUAAACAAUUCAAAAUA